GCUUCUUUUUCACCGGAGCUUGCUCCACCGGAAAAAGAAGAGUGGCGAACGGGUGAGUAACACGUGGGUAACCUGCCCAUCAGAAGGGGAUAACACUUGGAAACAGGUGCUAAUACCGUAUAACAAUCGAAACCGCAUGGUUUUGAUUUGAAAGGCGCUUUCGGGUGUCGCUGAUGGAUGGACCCGCGGUGCAUUAGCUAGUUGGUGAGGUAACGGCUCACCAAGGCCACGAUGCAUAGCCGACCUGAGAGGGUGAUCGGCCACAUUGGGACUGAGACACGGCCCAAACUCCUACGGGAGGCAGCAGUAGGGAAUCUUCGGCAAUGGACGAAAGUCUGACCGAGCAACGCCGCGUGAGUGAAGAAGGUUUUCGGAUCGUAAAACUCUGUUGUUAGAGAAGAACAAGGAUGAGAGUAACUGUUCAUCCCUUGACGGUAUCUAACCAGAAAGCCACGGCUAACUACGUGCCAGCAGCCGCGGUAAUACGUAGGUGGCAAGCGUUGUCCGGAUUUAUUGGGCGUAAAGCGAGCGCAGGCGGUUUCUUAAGUCUGAUGUGAAAGCCCCCGGCUCAACCGGGGAGGGUCAUUGGAAACUGGGAGACUUGAGUGCAGAAGAGGAGAGUGGAAUUCCAUGUGUAGCGGUGAAAUGCGUAGAUAUAUGGAGGAACACCAGUGGCGAAGGCGGCUCUCUGGUCUGUAACUGACGCUGAGGCUCGAAAGCGUGGGGAGCAAACAGGAUUAGAUACCCUGGUAGUCCACGCCGUAAACGAUGAGUGCUAAGUGUUGGAGGGUUUCCGCCCUUCAGUGCUGCAGCUAACGCAUUAAGCACUCCGCCUGGGGAGUACGACCGCAAGGUUGAAACUCAAAGGAAUUGACGGGGGCCCGCACAAGCGGUGGAGCAUGUGGUUUAAUUCGAAGCAACGCGAAGAACCUUACCAGGUCUUGACAUCCUUUGACCACUCUAGAGAUAGAGCUUCCCCUUCGGGGGCAAAGUGACAGGUGGUGCAUGGUUGUCGUCAGCUCGUGUCGUGAGAUGUUGGGUUAAGUCCCGCAACGAGCGCAACCCUUAUUGUUAGUUGCCAUCAUUCAGUUGGGCACUCUAGCAAGACUGCCGGUGACAAACCGGAGGAAGGUGGGGAUGACGUCAAAUCAUCAUGCCCCUUAUGACCUGGGCUACACACGUGCUACAAUGGGAAGUACAACGAGUCGCGAAGUCGCGAGGCUAAGCUAAUCUCUUAAAGCUUCUCUCAGUUCGGAUUGUAGGCUGCAACUCGCCUACAUGAAGCCGGAAUCGCUAGUAAUCGCGGAUCAGCACGCCGCGGUGAAUACGUUCCCGGGCCUUGUACACACCGCCCGUCACACCACGAGAGUUUGUAACACCCGAAGUCGGUGAG
rnacentral:rRNA from 1 species